UCUCUUUCUCUCAAUUUUAUUGUUAGCGCAUUGCCCUCUAUCAGUUCAUGCCUCGAAUCGGAGCAAACUGAGCUUUGAUCUCUGUUUCACAUAAACCAACCAAACAAACACAAUCCAUUCAACACAACAAUGUCAUUCUCAUUCUCAUUGUCAAGAAGGUUAAGCUCUUCUCCCUCUCUUUCCAUUCCCACCUUUCCUCCUUCUCUUCCAAACCCCACUUUCACUCUUUGCUUUCACUCUCAGCCUCCAUCCAUUGAAAAUGUUGUUGAUGAUGCUGUUUCCCAGUUCAAUCGCAUGCUCCUUGUGCGUCGUACCCCACCCAUCAUUGAAUUUGGCAAGAUUUUAGGAUACCUUGUAAAGAUGGAGCAUUAUCCUACUGCCAUUCCCCUUUUUAGACAAAUGGAAGUCAAAGGAAUUGAGCCAAAUCUUGUUACUUUGAGCAUCCUCAUCAAUUGUUUCUGCCACUUGGGCCAAAUGGCCUUUUCUUUUUCUGUAUUGGCCAAAAUUCUAAAAUUAGGUUAUCAGCCGGAUACCAUAACCUUGACUACACUCCUGAAAGGUCUAUGUCUCAAAGGUGAGGUCAAGAAAUCACUGCACUUUCAUGACAAGGUCGUAGCACAAGGAUUUCAGAUGAACCAGGUUAGUUACGGGAUCCUGCUCAAUGGACUAUGUAAAAUAGGAGAAACUAGAUGCGCCAUCAAGUUGCUGAGAAAGAUUGAAGACAGAUCAAUUAGGCCUGAUGUGGUAAUGUACAGCACAAUCAUUGAUAGCUUAUGCAAAGAUAAACUUGUAAACGAGGCUUAUGAUUUUUAUUCUGAAAUGGAUGCUAGAGGAAUUUUCCCUGAUGUUAUCACUUACACUACUCUAAUAUGUGGCUUUUGCCUUGCCAGUCAGUUAAUGGGAGCAUUCAGUUUAUUAAAUGAAAUGAUAUUGAAGAACAUCAACCCGGAUGUUCAUACCUUUAGUAUAUUGAUUGAUGCAUUAUGUAAAGAAGGAAAGGUGAAAGAAGCCAAAAAUUUAUUAGCUGUGAUGAUGAAAGAAGGAGUAAAACCUAAUGUUGUUACUUAUAAUACUUUAAUGGAUGGAUAUUGUUUAGUUGGUGAAGUGCAGAAUACAAAACAGAUAUUACACGCCAUGGUCCAAACGGGAGUAAAUCCUAAUGUUCGUAGCUACACUAUAAUGAUUAAUGGAUUAUGUAAGAGUAAAAGGAUGGAUGAGGCCAUGAAUCUCCUAAGAGAAAUGCUGUAUAAAGAUAUGAUUCCUGAUACAGUGACAUACAGUUCUCUUAUUGAUGGUUUCUGUAAAUCAGGGAGAAUUACUUCUGCUUUGAAUCUUUUGAAGGAGAUGCACCACAGAGGUCAACCAGCUGAUGUAGUCACCUACAAUUCCUUGUUAGAUGGUUUAUGCAAAAACCAAAACCUUGAAAAGGCAACUGCACUAUUCAUGAAAAUGAAGGAGCGGGGAAUUCAGCCAAAUAAGUACACAUACACGGCACUUAUUGAUGGAUUAUGUAAAGGUGGAAGACUUAAGAAUGCACAAAAACUUUUUCAAAAUCUCUUAGUUAAAGGCUGUCGUAUAAAUGUCUGGACAUAUAAUGUGAUGAUCAGUGGGCUUUGUAAAGAGGGCAUGUUUGAUGAAGCAUUGGCCAUGAAGUCAAAAAUGGAAGAGAAUGGUUGCAUCCCCGAUGCUGUAACUUUUGAAAUUAUUAUUCGUUCUCUUUUUGUGAAGGAUCAAAAUGAUAAGGCCGAGAAACUUCUGCAUGAAAUGAUUGCUAAAGGCCUAUUACCUUUUAGGGAUUUUCAUGGUGAGCGAUCUCCAGUUACAAAUAAAGUUAUUGUGAAUUUUCAUGGUCAUUGCUGAUAAAUUAAUGGAAGCUUCUUGAAAGGACAGAACUUAUUUUGGUUGUACUCAUUCCGGAUUGUGCGUUCCGGUCAUUGCUGAUAGAUUAAUGGGAGCUUCUUGAGAGAACAGAGCAUAUUUUGGUUGUACUCAUUCAGGAUUGUGCGUUCUGGUGAGCAAAUUGUUCUGCUGGUUUCCUGUACUUGUUAUGGCCUUACAAGGCCUUGGUGCUUCAAUCUUGUGAGUGACAGUUUUGCCAUGUGUCACCCAUUCCAACUGUGCUUUACUUGAGAAUAUAAUUGAAAUGUAUGAUUUUGAAUUGAUCCACACAAUUAGCCGUGAAAUCUAACAUAGCUUCGUUGUGCUUUGACAUCAAUAAAGUUCACUAUCUUCUAUUAA